rnacentral:lncRNA from 1 species
AUGGUAAGCCAGGUCAUGUACUCUGUGGAUUCUGAUGCAGAAAGUAGAGGAUCCUCUCCAACUGAAUCUCUCCAAACAUCUGAACCCACUAUAUCUGAUGUAGGCAAUCUAUUGAGUGGCAAGUCCUCCCCUCGGCUGUCUCCUUCUGGCACCAUUAUGGCAACAAGCGAGACCUCCAAUGCAGCACAAAUCUUGAAGGCCAACAUUGAUGGAGAGGAAGUGGAUACCACCAGUCAUUCUGGUGUAGCUCAAAACAUUGUCAAGGACGAUAUGUCAACCAGCCCAGACAUGGUCAAAGAUGUCACACUUCCAACCCCAUCCUCUGAUAACUUGGGCAGUGAUGAUGACGUCACCGGCCUCAUCAGCAUGUUAGUAAUGAGAAUUCUAACAGAAAUCCAAACCCCAGCAGAAGAUUACCCAGUUGACGUCACACGCAAGUCACAAGACCUUAUCCCUAAAGUUAUGGAGGUCUUCUGUGCAUGGUCAGGCUGCUCUGAGACACAAGCCUAUCCAGAGAACUUGAGGAUUCAUAAAGUCUACAGAGUCGUCUAUAAAAAUCUGUUGGAGGAGUUUGGCUCGGAGAAAAUCCUCCAACAGGCCGUGACGACUCAGGACUCUUCAUUUGAUAGGAUUCUUGUCAAGUCUUUGAGUGAAGCGCUUCUCCACAGAUGUAAUGAGGCAUUGAGGGCAGCCUCAAGAACAUCAGUCAAAACCACCGGGCCUAAGGCUCUUCCACUGGCUGAGGAUGUGAGGGCUAGCAGCGGGAAACUAUCUUUUCUACAAAGGCUGGUCAGGCUGACAAGCAACUUAAAGCUAUUCAAGAAGGGGAACAAGAAGGAUUCCCACCGCUCUGAAUCAGAACAAGUACAGACCACUGCUGAAGAUGGCAUGCUGCCCAGCAUAGUGCCACAUGCUGCUAUGUCUGCACUGCCAAAGGAUCUCCCCGCCAGCUCCCAACAGGAGACGCCUCACAAACGUCCACUUCUCGUCAGGAUGUUUUCUGCCAUCUCCAAAGGCCUGUUCAAGCCCUUCAAACAGUCCUUAAAGACCAAGUAACUUCAGACAAUUUAUUAAACGUCAUUCAUUGCAUUAAAUUGGCCUUUGUCUUCUUAUGUGCUCCCGUUAACAGACCAGAUUACAACACUGGUCUUUUAAAUGUUAGCAGGGAUAGCAACAUUGACUAUAGUGGUGUGUGUAUAGCCCUUCUACACAGUCUGACUCUUCUGACACUGCGUGACAUGCCCUCUGAUCCAGUGAUCUAGGAUAUUCUGAGUGGCUUUAGGCCUGAAUCUCUGCCCUCUGGCCCAAAUAAAUGUUUUCUCUUCUGAUAUAUCUGCCACUGUCAGCAGCCAGCAGGGGAAAACAGACAACGCUGUUGAGAGCUUUCUUUUCUCCCUCAUGACUAAAACACUGAGAAAGGCUUUUAUCUAUUGCAGCAUAUUCCAUCUUUUGAUUUAACCUAUUAUACGGUAGUAAGUACCCAUUAUUUCCCAACGGUUAUAUCACAGGAAAUGUGUUAUAAAAAGUAAACUUACAGUGCAUCCGGAAAGUAUUCAGACCACUUGACUUUUUCCACAUUGUUACGUUACAGCCUUAUUCUAAAAUUGAUACAAUUAUUUUUUCCUCUCAUUAAGCUACACAAAACACCUCAUGACAAAGCGAAAAGUGUAGAACAUUUUAGCAAAUUUAUUAAGAAUAAAAACAGAAUUACCUUAUUUAAAUAAUUAUUGAGAACCUUUGCUAUGAGACUCGAAAUUGAUCUCAGGUGCAUCCUGUUUCCAUUGAUCAUCCUUGAGAUGUUUCUACAACUUGUUUGGAGUCCUGUGGUAAAUUCAAUUGAUUGGACAUGAUUUGGAAAGAAACACAGACCUGGGGGAAGGGUAUGAGAAACAAUAUUCUCUGAUCUGAUGAUACCGAGAUUGAACUCUUUGGCCUGAAUCAGGAUCCUGGGAAAGAUGAACGGAGCAAAGUACAGAGAUCCUUGAUGAAAACCUGCUCCAGAGGUUCACCUUCCAACAGGACAACGACCCUAAGCACACAGCCAAGACAAUGCAGGAGUGGAUUCGGGACAAGUCUCUGAAUGUCCAUGAAUGGCCCAGCCAGAGCCCGGACCUGAACCCAAUCGAACAUCUCUGGAGAGACCUGAAAAAACUGCAGCGACUCUCCCCAUCCAAGUCUGACAGAACAUGAGAGGAUCUGCAGAGAAAAAUGGGAGAAACUCCCCAAAUACAGGUGUACCAAGCUUGUAGCGUCAUACCCAAAAAGACUCGAGGCUGUAAUCGCUACCAAAGGUGCUUCAACAAAGUACUGAGUAAAGGGUCUGAAUAUUUGUAAAUGUGAUCAGUAUUUUAUUUUUAGUACAUAGGUUUUUGAUUAAAAAAAUAAUAGAACAGUUUUUGCUUACUUAUUAUGGGUUACUAUCUGUAGAGGGGGGGGAUUGAAUCAAUUUUAGAAUAAGCCUGUAACGUAACAAUGUGGAAAAGGUCAAGGGGUCUGAAUACUUUCCGAAUGCACUUUAUGUAAUGAAAAUAUUAGCUGGUUGCCACUAUAGACAGCUAGGUUAUCCAGUGCAGUGGUAAUACUGCCUGCCUUGGGAGAUAACGUAGGAUGCGUGCUUAUCCGGGUGCCAGAGACACAAUCACAAGCUUUCUUCAGACUACAUAGCUCAAACUUCCAACGUAAAGAUAUGAUUAUCACUACAUAGGUUUUUUUUAACAAGAAGGGUGUUUUCUAUAUCUACCAACUAUGAAAUUACAGACAUCAUAAACGGUAAGCAUGAGAAUAAUAUCAUCAAGGCGGACAGGGACAAUGUAUGAAUACACAAAACAUUAUUCAAAUGGACAUUCCCCAAAUGAGCUAUGCACCAGCCCAUAGCCACAGGAUAUCUAUGGAGUAACAUUAAUAUAUUCAUCAAUUUAAAAAAAGGCAUGAAUAUUGUUUUUCUGCUUUUCUGAUCUUAAACCUCCCCUGGAUGUUGUCCAGGUUUCCUCCAGGGGAGACCUUCUGAAACAGUACGCGAAGGAAACAGCCGACAGUUACAGUACUGUGUUGAAGAUAGAUGAUGACACUCUUAAAAGACAGGUCAUUCCUUUACAUGGAGCAGUUCCUUAAACCAGGUUAGAUUCAACACAGCCACCUCAAACUGGACUCCACCACUCCUUCAUAACGCUGGAUCUGCUAGUCAGUCACUGAGUGCAUUAACACUGAUGAGAUGUCCUGUUUAGCCUAGCUGAAAGGGGAGCUCUAACUAGUCCUGUGGGCACCUAGCUGC